rnacentral:rRNA from 1 species
AUUGAACGCUGGCGGCAGGCCUAACACAUGCAAGUCGAACGGUAACAGGAAGCAGCUUGCUGCUUCGCUGACGAGUGGCGGACGGGUGAGUAAUGUCUGGGAAACUGCCUGAUGGAGGGGGAUAACUACUGGAAACGGUAGCUAAUACCGCAUAACGUCGCAAGACCAAAGAGGGGGACCUUAGGGCCUCUUGCCAUCGGAUGUGCCCAGAUGGGAUUAGCUAGUAGGUGGGGUAACGGCUCACCUAGGCGACGAUCCCUAGCUGGUCUGAGAGGAUGACCGGCCACACUGGAACUGAGACACGGUCCAGACUCCUACGGGAGGCAGCAGUGGGGAAUAUUGCACAAUGGGCGCAAGCCUGAUGCAGCCAUGCCGCGUGUAUGAAGAAGGCCUUCGGGUUGUAAAGUACUUUCAGCGGGGAGGAAGGGAGUAAAGUUAAUACCUUUGCUCAUUGACGUUACCCGCAGAAGAAGCACCGGCUAACUCCGUG